rnacentral:tRNA from 2 species
UCCUCGUUAGUAUAGUGGUGAGUAUCCCCGCCUGUCACGCGGGAGACCGGGGUUCGAUUCCCAGACGGGGAG